UACGGAGGGAGCAAGCGUUACUCGGAAUUAUUGGGCGUAAAGGGCGCGUAGGCGAUUUGACAAGUCUUGUGUGAAAGCCCCGAGCUUAACUCGGGAAGUGCACAAGAAACUGUUGAAUUUGAGUUCCGGAGAGGAAGGCAGAAUUCCCGGUGUAGCGGUGAAAUGCGUAGAUAUCGGGAGGAAUACCAGUGGCGAAGGCGGCCUUCUGGACGGAUACUGACGCUGAGGCGCGAAAGCCAGGGGAGCAAACAGG
rnacentral:rRNA from 1 species